GACGAACGCUGGCGGCGUGCUUAACACAUGCAAGUCGAACGGAAAGGCCCUGCUUUUGUGGGGUGCUCGAGUGGCGAACGGGUGAGUAACACGUGAGUAACCUGCCCUUGACUUUGGGAUAACUUCAGGAAACUGGGGCUAAUACCGGAUAGGAGCUCCUGCUGCAUGGUGGGGGUUGGAAAGUUUCGGCGGUUGGGGAUAGACUCGCGGCUUAUCAGCUUGUCGGUGGGGUAGUGGCUUACCAAGGCUUUGACGGGUAGCCGGCCUGAGAGGGUGACCGGCCACAUUGGGACUGAGAUACGGCCCAGACUCCUACGGGAGGCAGCAGUGGGGAAUAUUGCACAAUGGGCGGAAGCCUGAUGCAGCAACGCCGCGUGCGGGAUGACGGCCUUCGGGUUGUAAACCGCUUUCGCCUGUGACGAAGCGUGAGUGACGGUAAUGGGUAAAGAAGCACCGGCUAACUACGUG
rnacentral:rRNA from 1 species